AUGGGGUCGCGGCGGUCGCGGCGCGUUUCGUGGGCCACCGGACCCAGCCUCUGCAAGGUAAGGCUGUUCAUAUCUGAGGAUUCCCCUUCUCAAGCUGGAUUAAGACCGCAAGACAAUCUCCAAGCAAAAGGUUCAACAUCCUUAACGCAUGCAGCUGGCCCGAGUUCAGAUGAUUCCCUGCCUCCGGGUUUUGAGUCACUGCAGCCAGCCAAUGACCUCAAAAUUGACAUAUCUCAAAUUCCUCUUAUUAGGUGGAAAUGCCCACCACAUAUAUUGCUGAACCCACAAUGGCACCUUGCCUCUGGAGAAGAAAGCAGGGAGAUUGCUGUACAAAAUGAGAGGAUGUUUGGAGUGCUUGAGGCUAUUUAUCCACGUGCAUCGAACAUUCCUCCAAAUCCAUUUGUUUCUCCUGAUGUGAAAGACUCUCAUUAUGAUGACUCCGGAACCCCAUUGGUUCCUGUGAUCCCUGUCGAAGAUGAUGAUGCUUCAGAUCAGUCGGAAGGACCAUUGCUUGAUCAACCAAACGAUUACCAUCAGUCCGAUAACUAUGGCCCUGCAGAAAUCAAUGCGCUGCAAGUGUCAAAUACUCCAAUUACUCCUGCACAACAGCAGCCUGGUGGAUCCACUGGCGUUGAAGCUGAUGUGUUGGCUGCAGCUUCUGCUGCAUACACUGCAAUAAUGCAGAGCAACCAAAAGGGAAGUAUGGUUGACCGAGAUCUACUUGUUAAAAUACUAAGUGAUCCUGUACAAGUUGAGAGGUUAAUGAAAGAAUACAACCAAAUUAGAAAUGAACAAUCUACUAGUAGUUCAGUUGUUGCCCCAGUGCCACCGUGUCCACCCCCCCAAAUGACAAUGACUGCCCCUGCCUCAUAUUCCAAUCAUAUGACAACUUUCCAGAACACAAAUUCCACCCUGCCACCUCCAAUGGCCCCACGGCCAAUGAUGAAUCGACCGCCUCAAGGAUAUCCUCCAGUUCCCAUGAAUCAUCCACCCGGUUCUAGUCCAGCUAUGAAUAUUCCACCGGGUUCAAGUUCAGCUAUGAGUCAUCGACCAGGUUCAAAUCCACCUAUGAGUCAUCCACCAGGUUCAAAUCCACCUAUGAGUCAUCCACCAGGUUCAAAUCCACCUAUGAGUCGUCCACCGGGUUCAAAUCCACCUAUGAGUCGUCCACCGGGGUCAAAUCCAGCUAUGAGUCAUCCACCGGGUUCAAAUCCAGCUAUGAGUCAUCCAUUGGGCUCAAAUCCAGCUAUGAGUCAUGCACCGGGUUCAAAUCCAGCUAUGAGUUAUCCACCGGGUUCAAGUAGUCCAGCUAUGAAUUUUUCAGGUGCUCCGCCAAGGGCUAUCAACUAUUACAAAACCCUCAUCCAUCAGCAUGGUGGUGAGAAGCAGGAAUCAUUUGAACAGCAUGGAAGGCAGUUUGGAAUGUACCAUCAAUCUGGAACUCCCCAAACUAAUGGUAUUGAUGCUAUGAACGGUGCUUCUAUGGUGAACAGAGAUACGAAAACAAGGCCAACAAGACCAUGUGCCUACUUCAACGGCCCGAGAGGGUGUCGCAACGGAGCUAAUUGCACGUUUCUACAUGACUCAUCUGCCACUUCAAGGCAGCAGGAGCAACAAAACGGCUCAAAAAGGAUAAAGUUAGACAGCAGAAUAACUGGUCGAAAUUGA
rnacentral:rRNA from 1 species